rnacentral:rRNA from 1 species
UGACCUCGGAUCAGGUAGGGAUACCCGCUGAACUUAAGCAUAUCAAUAAGCGGAGGAAAAGAAACCAACAGGGAUUGCCUCAGUAACGGCGAGUGAAGCGGCAAGAGCUCAAAUUUGAAAUCUGGCAUCCACCGGGUGUCCGAGUUGUAAUUUGGAGAGGCAUCUUCCUGGUUAGGCGCUUGCCUAUGUUCCUUGGAACAGGACGUCGCAGAGGGUGAGAAUCCCGUGCACGGCAAGCCCGCCUAUACCGCUGUGAAGCGCCUUCGAAGAGUCGAGUUGUUUGGGAAUGCAGCUCAAAAUGGGUGGUAAAUUUCAUCUAAAGCUAAAUACCGGCGAGAGACCGAUAGCGCACAAGUAGAGUGAUCGAAAGAUGAAAAGCACUUUGAAAAGAGAGUUAAAAAGUACGUGAAAUUGUUGAAAGGGAAGCGCUUGAGACCAGACUCGGGCCUUGGUGAUCAGCGGUCCUUCUGGGCCGUGCACUCGCCUUGGCUUCGGGCCAGCAUCGGUUGGGAUGGCGGGAUAAAGGCCCUGGGAAUGUGGCUCCUCUCGGGGAGUGUUAUAGCCCUGGGCGCAAUGCCGCCGAUGACUCCGACCGAGGAACGCGCCUUCACCGGCACGGAUGCUGGCGUAAUGGUCUUCAGCGACCCGUCUUGAAA